GUCGGAUAGCUCAGUUGUAAG
rnacentral:tRNA from 1 species